rnacentral:tRNA from 1 species
GCGUCUGUGGCCUAGUGGUAAAAGGCAGCACUCUAGUAAUGCUGAAGUUGUGGGUUCGAAUCCCACCAGACACA